CGGGCGGUCGCCAUCUCCAGGCGGCGGCGGGAGCCAGCGCGCCGAGCGGUGGGUGGUGUCUCCGUGGCGGUGCGAUCCCGCGGUGAGACCCGGGCCCUGGCGUCUCGCGGUGGGUGGCGGGGAGACCCGGGCAGGCGCGGGGCGCCCGGUCCUCGCAGGCCUUGAGAACCCGCGACUUCCGGCCUCUUCCCGACUAUAAAUUCAUAUUUCUUGCCGUCGGGAAAGUGGAGCCGAAAAGCACAAGGAAGGAAGUGCAGGAACCAAGUCCCCACUCCUGGAAGUCACCGGGUUAACAUUAAGACUGUUUUGCCAGCCAUGGCAUCUGGAGAUGACAGUCCUAUCUUUGAAGAUGACGAAAGGUGACUUUGUUUGGAAUUAUCCGACCAUACCCAUAUAUAGUAAUUUCAUCUUAAAAGAAGAAUGCGUAAGAUGGAGAAGAUAGUUACAUGUAUUGUAAGUAGACUUCUUAGGUAAUAUCACUUAAAUAUUUUAAAAAUCUGAUGUUUCUUCUUGGAAGGAUUAUUGGUUAUUCUGUUACUGCAUGCCCUAUUGUAAUUGCUUAAUU
rnacentral:lncRNA from 9 species